rnacentral:rRNA from 1 species
UCAGGACGAACGCUGGCGGCGUGCUUAACACAUGCAAGUCGAACGAUGAAGCCUAGCUUGCUGGGUGGAUUAGUGGCGAACGGGUGAGUAACACGUGAGUAACCUGCCCUUGACUCUGGGAUAAGCGCUGGAAACGGCGUCUAAUACCGGAUAUGACCUGCCCCGGCAUCGGGUGUGGGUGGAAAGUUUUUCGGUCAAGGAUGGACUCGCGGCCUAUCAGCUUGUUGGUGAGGUAAUGGCUCACCAAGGCGACGACGGGUAGCCGGCCUGAGAGGGUGACCGGCCACACUGGGACUGAGACACGGCCCAGACUCCUACGGGAGGCAGCAGUGGGGAAUAUUGCACAAUGGGCGAAAGCCUGAUGCAGCAACGCCGCGUGGGGGAUGACGGCCUUCGGGUUGUAAACCUCUUUUAGUAGGGAAGAAGGGCUUCGGCUUGACGGUACCUGCAGAAAAAGCACCGGCUAACUACGUGCCAGCAGCCGCGGUAAUACGUAGGGUGCAAGCGUUGUCCGGAAUUAUUGGGCGUAAAGAGCUCGUAGGCGGUUUGUCGCGUCUGCUGUGAAAACCCGAGGCUCAACCUCGGGCCUGCAGUGGGUACGGGCAGACUAGAGUGCGGUAGGGGAGAAUGGAAUUCCUGGUGUAGCGGUGGAAUGCGCAGAUAUCAGGAGGAACACCGAUGGCGAAGGCAGUUCUCUGGGCCGUUACUGACGCUGAGGAGCGAAAGCGUGGGGAGCGAACAGGAUUAGAUACCCUGGUAGUCCACGCCGUAAACGUUGGGAACUAGAUGUGGGGGCCUUUCCACGGUCUCCGUGUCGCAGCUAACGCAUUAAGUUCCCCGCCUGGGGAGUACGGCCGCAAGGCUAAAACUCAAAGGAAUUGACGGGGGCCCGCACAAGCGGCGGAGCAUGCGGAUUAAUUCGAUGCAACGCGAAGAACCUUACCAAGGCUUGACAUAUACCGGAAACUUCCAGAGAUGGUUGCCCCGCAAGGUCGGUAUACAGGUGGUGCAUGGUUGUCGUCAGCUCGUGUCGUGAGAUGUUGGGUUAAGUCCCGCAACGAGCGCAACCCUCGUUCUAUGUUGCCAGCACGUUAUGGUGGGAACUCAUAGGAGACUGCCGGGGUCAACUCGGAGGAAGGUGGGGAUGACGUCAAAUCAUCAUGCCCCUUAUGUCUUGGGCUUCACGCAUGCUACAAUGGCCGGUACAAAGGGCUGCGAUACCGUAAGGUGGAGCGAAUCCCAAAAAGCCGGUCUCAGUUCGGAUUGAGGUCUGCAACUCGACCUCAUGAAGUCGGAGUCGCUAGUAAUCGCAGAUCAGCAACGCUGCGGUGAAUACGUUCCCGGGCCUUGUACACACCGCCCGUCAAGUCAUGAAAGUCGGUAACACCCGAAGCCAGUGGCCUAACCGUAAG